rnacentral:ncRNA from 1 species
CUCAAGACGGUUGGCAAUCGUCUUUAGAGUGCAAAGGCAUAAGGGAGCUUAACUGUGAGUCCGACAGGACGAACAGAUACGAAAGUAGGGCUUAGUGAUCCGGUGGUUGAUUAUGGGAUUGCCAUCGCUCAACGAACAAUAGGUACUCCGGGGAUAACAGGCUGAUAGCGCUCGAGAGUUCAUAUCGACAGCGCUGUUUGGCACCUCGAUGUCGGCUCAUCCUAUCCUGGGGCUGGACAAGGUCCCAAGGGUCCGGCUGUUCGCCGGUUAAAAGGGUACGCGAGCUGGGUUUAGAACGUCGUGAGACAGUUCGGUCUCUAUCUGGUGUGGGCGUGCGAUACUUGAAGGGGAGCUCUCCUUAGUACGAGAGGACCGGGAGAGACAAACCUCUGGUGUUCCAGUUAUCCUGCCAAGGGUAAUGGCUGGGUAGUCAUGUUUGGAAGGGAUAAGCGCUGAAUGCAUAUAAGUGCGAAGCCCCCCCCAAGAUGAGGUAUCGUUUCCCUUCGGGGAUGAAGGCACCUUGUAGACUACAAGGUUGAUAGGCUGCGUGUGUAAGGACUGUAAGGUCUUUAGCUAAGCAGUACUAAUGUGCCGAAAGCUUGACCUU